rnacentral:piRNA from 1 species
GGGUGAGACGAAAUAGUCUGACA